UGCGGCCACUCAGGAUGGAUCAGGGGGAACUUUGGUUGCUUGUGAUCACAUGGUUAUUUCAUUUCCUUGGCCUCCUUGGUUAUAAUCUGUUGCAAAGCUCUGAUUUUCAGAGGUCUCAACUCUCCCUACAGGACAAAGAUUGGCAGGAUAUCCUGAAACUCUGGAAGAUCAGAUGUAACUUUCUGGAACUCAAAUUAUAUAGUUCUGCUGAUGGGAUAAGGAAGCUGCCUACAGGAUAAGG
rnacentral:lncRNA from 1 species